AACCAAUGGUGAGGGAACCUUCUUAAUAAAUCCUUGCACAUCUCCCAUACAUCAUAUAGAGUCUCUAAAUUGAUUUGAACAAAGGAAGAGAUAUCAUUCCUCAACUU
rfam:Gossypium arboreum cultivar AKA8401 contig_1648_5, whole genome shotgun sequence.